GGGGGGAUAUUGCACAAUGGGCGAAAGCCUGAUGCAGCGACGCCGCGUGGGGGAUGAAGGCCUUCGGGUUGUAAACUUCUUUUGCUCUGAACAAGGCAUGCCUGUGGGGUGUGUUGAGUGUAGGGGUUGAUUAGCGCCGGCUAACUACGUGCCAGCAGCCGCGGUAAUACGUAGGGCGCGAGCGUUGUCCGGAAUUAUUGGGCGUAAAGGGCUUGUAGGUGGCUGGUUGCGUCUGUCGUGAAAGCUCAUGGCUUAACUGUGGGUUUGCGGUGGGUACGGGCUGGCUUGAGUGCAGUAGGGGAGGCUGGAAUUCCUGGUGUAGCGGUGGAAUGCGCAGAUAUCAGGAGGAAUACCGGUGGCGAAGGCGGGUCUCUGGGCUGUUACUGACGCUGAGGAGCGAAAGCGUGGGGAGCGAACAGG
rnacentral:rRNA from 1 species